rnacentral:rRNA from 1 species
AUUGAACGCUGGCGGCAGGCCUAACACAUGCAAGUCGAACGAGUGGCGGACGGGUGAGUAAUGUCUGGGAAACUGCCUGAUGGAGGGGGAUAACCAAUCGAAAGAUUGGCUAAUACCGCAUACCAUCAGAUGUGCCCAGAUGGGAUUAGCUUGUUGGUGGGGUAACGGCUCACCAAGGCGACGAUCCCUAGCUGGUCUGAGAGGAUGACCAGCCACACUGGAACUGAGACACGGUCCAGACUCCUACGGGAGGCAGCAGUGGGGAAUAUUGCACAAUGGGCGCAAGCCUGAUGCAGCCAUGCCGCGUGUAUGAAGAAGGCCUUCGGGUUGUAAAGUACUUUCAGCGGGGAGGCGUUACCCGCAGAAGAAGCACCGGCUAACUCCGUGCCAGCAGCCGCGGUAAUUC